rnacentral:rRNA from 1 species
UCCUGGCUCAAGAACGAACGCUGGCGGCAGGCUUAACACAUGCAAGUCGAACGGUUGUAGCAAUACAGCAGUGGCAGACGGGUGAGUAACACGUGGGAACCUUCCUAGGGGUACGGAACAACUCAGGGAAACUUGAGCUAAUACCGUAUACGUCCGUGAGGAGAAAGAUUUAUCGCCCUUAGACGGGCCCGCGUCGGAUUAGCUAGUUGGUGGGGUAACGGCCUACCAAGGCGACGAUCCGUAGCUGAUCUUAGAGGAUGAUCAGCCACACUGGGACUGAGACACGGCCCAGACUCCUACGGGAGGCAGCAGUGGGGAAUCUUGGACAAUGGGCGCAAGCCUGAUCCAGCCAUGCCGCGUGAGUGAAGAAGGUCUUCGGAUUGUAAAGCUCUUUUGCCAGGGACGAUAAUGACGGUACCUGGAGAAUAAGCCCCGGCAAACUUCGUG